AGAGGUGAAAAACUUCAGUGUCCUAGUUAGCACAUGUCUGAAUAUCGCAAAAAAAAAAAAAAAAACUGAGAGUGGACUUGAGAUGGACGUGACUUUUUGGAUAAACACAGGCUGUGUGUUUGAAAACAUGUAUUUCCAUUUGGACCCGCUAGUUUGUGUGCGUGUAGGAGCUGGUUAGUCUGGUUCACAAGGAACUCCGCUUGAUGCAGGAGGAAUCGCACACGACUGAUUUAUGAUAUCUGGAGCCAUCUCUCUUAGUUUACUACACAGCAUUCCACAGCUCAGGGUAUUUGCUUUGUAUCAAAGCCAGACAGCAGUAUGUCUUACAACGGAAAAUGCAAACAGACUGGGUCUGCAGGACAGACUAGAUUUUCACCAUUUAUAUGUGCUUUAAGGGUAAGAGUGAUUCAAAUGACACAGAAAAUCCCACUCAGCAAUGACUAUAGUCAUAACAGUUAAUUAUUAUUGUGAGACUGACUUCCUGCGAAAGUGUCCAUUUUUGGUCAGCAGCACACAACAAACGUCAUUUCUGGUCAACUUGCCUAUUUUCCGUCCCUGACUGUUAUCUGGUGAUUAAUUGUUAACAGCUUUUACACACAAAUGUCACAGGAAUGUUUUAUUGCAAGCUUAUCAGUAACAUAAUGCAGAUACAUAAUAUAUGUUACUAUUCACAUAAUAAUAAUGUGUAAUAAUGUAAUUCUAAAAAUCAAGGCUUCAGGCUGAUGUUGUGCUUUCACAUGGACGGUUGUGGCUCUAAACAGAAAAUAACAUUUAUGUCACCACAUUGAGUAUUUCCUUUAGAAAUGGUUAUAAAAUGGUUCUCAGGAAUAAGCUAUCGAGAUCUGUUACCUACUUAAUCGUCAUGAAAUUGAAUUAAACGAGUAUAACCAUAAGAUGUAAUUUUUAAGAUCCAAAUGAAAAUGAAUUUAGAUGGAACACACACCGAAAGUGUAUUGCUAAACUGUUCAAUCAUCUGGAUUCAGUUAGCCUUUCUAAACAGAAUGUGCUGACUGUUUGUGUGUUCGUCUUGAUCUUGAAUCUAGCCUGACAGAUUUGAAUAAACAAAGGUUAAGGUUCAUUUGACGAAAGCUGACGGAAUGGAAUAUUUCUUAGGGAAAGUGUCCUUUUUUUCUCUCUCUCUUUCUCUUUAAGAAAGCCAUAGGGAGAUUAAAUCCAAGUCAAAACUAAAUGUGUUUUGCACAUGUAAUUUUGAUCCUUUGUUGGACUCUGUUAAGUAUAUAGAGAGGAUCUGCAGCGUGAGGGAGUGACUGGCAUCUUUGAUUGUCCCUUUUCCUUGAUUUUCUCUCUGUUUGUUAUGAUUGGCCGAAGUGAAAAGCGCAUUAGUCACAAGCAGACCUGCACGUAAUCCACAGCUUCAGAAUUCCACAGAAAGCUCCACGGAUUCUGUAAAACUUGAAUGUCAGUCAUUCAAAAUACAUCCCACGUUCCUUGUAUGUUUAUUUACUAAAUAUUGUGGCUAAAUUUCAUCAUGCUCUCAAAUGCCAAUAAUAAGCUCCAUUGUCCAUAUUCCAAUACAUGACAGAAAAUUUCCACCCACGAUCCGUGAAGAAACUUUAAAAAGAGUUCAGAGAUUCAUUGUGGGGCCUUAUCAUAACAUUCAUAAUUGAUUUAGCAUUAGCUUGACUUGAGCGCUGGUAGAUAAUCGAGAAUUUGACAGAUCGAGCCAGACGGUUCAGCCCAAAUCCUAGAAGGGCCUCUAAGGUACUGACAUGGAAAUGUUCUGCUAAUUCCAGGGAUUUAUUGGGCUUUUCCUGUUAAAGCUUGUGCCUCUCUUCCCACUAGAUGGCAUUAAAAACACUUAAAAACUUAAAAAGCCUGCCUGAAUGCUAAACAUCAGAUUUUUAACUGUCUGUGGCCUACCCACAUUACUAUUAUUAGAUUCUGAGAUGAACUUGUUUGCUCUUUAAAUGCUGCACUUCACUGACCACGUAAAUACAGGUGCUUCUGCAGAAAUGUUACGUUAAAAAGUAAGUGUUGUUUUGGGUACCAAGAGUUGUGUUUAUUGAGCUAGCAGGCAUAAAUGGAGGCUUUUCAGGCUUAUUCAUGGUUCAUUGACACUAAUAUAUGUUUUGACAGCCAAUUGUAUACGUCAUAUGCUGUAUGUGUGAGUACAGUACACAUACAUGAGAAAAUCAAAUACUGUCUUACUACUGUAUGUACAUAUAAAUAGCACCUGAUACAGUUUAAAUUGUAUAUAAAAUAUACGUGCACAUGCACAGUGCUGUUCAAAAUUUAAGUAGUGCUUUUAAGAAGUCUGUUAUGCGCACCAGGGAAGUAUUUAUUUCAUACAAAAAAUAUAUAGUAAAAACAGUAAU